ensembl:lncRNA
GGGAGCUGUCCGUCCAGGAGACCACACCGCUGCCUGUGAACAGCACAGGCGAGGACCCGGAGGCAGCGGCAGAGGGAGCGAGUGACCAGGAGAAGGACUGGGAACAGGUGAGGGCAACCCCUUCCCCACCUGCACCCCCAAUCCCCCCGUCUCUGCUCUGGGCCUCGGGUCCCUCUCCAGCUCCGGCUCCGCCUCACCCCACGCCUCUGUGUCCUGCCUGUGCCCAACCUGUAUCUGUCUCUGAGUGUCCGUCUCGGCUGAGCCUCCAGACGGCUGUCUCUUCUAGGCCUCUUUUCCUCCCUCCGUCUCUCUGCAUGUCUCUGCCCUUUGGUUUCUGGUCUCUUGCUGUGUGUCUCAUGGUCACUCCGUCUUGCGUCUCUCUACUCCUGUCUCCUGUGUCUCUGUCUUUCUGGGGCUCUGUCUCAGAUCCCCCUCGCCUCCCCUUUCCCUGCACUGUGAGUGCCCCCGGGGAGGAGCCAGAGAGUAUUGGGGUUAGAACAAAGGAUUUUCAGGCAUCUGGACCCCUGCCGAUCUAAGCCCAGGGUCUGAUGCCUCUCGGGUCCCUAGGUAUUUGGAUGCUGGGAGGGCUUGUCACGAGGACUGUGGGCUUUAUCUGAACAUAUG